AGAAUCAGCACGCUAGAGGCUUGCUAGAGCUAAACGAAGGACACGAACGACAAUGACGAGAGAGAAAGAGAGAGACUGACGAAUGAUCGAAAAUGGAAAAGCUAAAAUUGAAAUUUCAUCUGCGCAUUUAAGCACGCAUGUCGGGGUAAACGUGUCAAGGUGCCGAUAGACGUAGCGACGCGACGAAUCCGUCGCGAGAUAUAGUAGCGAGGAUGGACUAAGGCGAAGGAAAAGGAGAAAGCAUGGAGGAAGAAGCAGGACGGCAAGACGCACGCCCGACAAUGACGACGACGUACGAUUCAAAGUGCCCGCGAACGGAAAGAUCAGGCAGGAAAAUAUAAGAGGAUGUAAUCUGCUCGUGUCCUGAAUUAGCUUGAAUGAUAUAAGAUGACCUAAUUGAUUGAAAAUUUCUUGCUUGACGAUUUUCGUUAUCGACAAUAAAAAAUGUUUAUUUUGUAAAACUUAGAGAGUGGUAGAACAGAUACGAUUUAUAUACUCUCACAGGUUCGUUAAAAUCUAUAAAAAAAAUUCAAACGAUUAUAUCGUAUUUCAUGGAGUAUGAUAAUAAAUACAUUUAUCGCAUUAUGUGUCGUUCUAACAGU